rnacentral:lncRNA from 1 species
ACCCACGGCAUAUGGAGGUUUCCAGACAAGGGGUUGAAUCAAGGCUGUAGCCGCUGGCCUACGCCAUGACCACAGCAACACUGGGCAGGAUCCGAGCCAUGUCUGCAACUUACACCACAGCUCAUGGCAAUGUUGGAUCCUUAACCCACUGAGCGAGGCCAGGGACCGAACCUGUAACCUCAUGGUUACUAGUCGGAUUCAUUUCCACUGCGCCACAAUAGGAAUUUCUAUACUCAAUAUUUUGGAAUAACCUUUAUGGGAAAAGACUCUGAAAAAGAGUAUCUGUGUAUCACUUAUGUGAUACCUGAAACAAACACAACAUUGUAAAUCAACUCUACUUCAAUAAUAAAAGAAAAAAGAAAAAGCAAACAAUGCUAUCUGAGCUACCCCGGUGCUAUGAUGACAGUUACAUAAAGCUACGUUCUAGGAGCACAGAAAAUGCGAGUUAUCAUCAUAACCAAAGGCCCAGGCAAAGGUAAGCUGUCAAUUCCCCCUCAGAGACAGUCAGGCCCACUCAGCCCCUCUGCUCACUUCUCUGGGAGCUUCCGGUUCCCGAGGUUUUCGUCCCAGUGGGUGGGUUCCUCAGAGGUGUUCUCUCCAGAGAAGCUGCAGCACACUCCCCAGGCCAGGGGUCCUGUGCCCACGGCCUCUGCAGUGCCCUGCGUGCCUCUAGAGGUGUCUGACAUCACGUGCUGAACGGAGCUUGAAAAGUAAGCCUACCAGAGGCAGAUACGGGUUCUUCUGCACAAACCAGGACACAGAAUACAAACAGGAAGAGUUGGAAAAAGAAAUUCGAAUUCUGCACUUCUCAGAGAAAAAUCUAUCUUCAAUCUUACUGUUUCUGGUGGUGCCGGCAGAAACCUCAUUGGGGUCUGCAUGGCCGCAAAUGGAAAGUCACACACGAACACAUUUCCUGCAGGGACAGCAGGGCAAUGAGCUGGCUCUAUUUUGAGAGCCAAGCUCUCACUUAGCCGUGUCCCUAGCAUCCAUGAGUGGCGGUGCCCGGAGAAUUCCCGCUGCUGCAGGUGUGUCCACCUGGAUUAGUGUUGGGAACACAGGUAGAGGGAGAGAAGGGAAACGCCGGGGACAGUGAGGAGAGGCAGGUCACAUUUAGAAACAGUAACAAGUUACCGCCUCCGCUCUGCCCAAGGCACGGGGCGGGGGUGGCUGCACGGGGCUAAGCGAGGGCGGGGGCGGGGGUGGGGGUGACUCACACAGACCUUCUUGGUCCCCAUGGCUCUGCUGAGGGAGGUCAGGUGACUCACCGGGGUCACAUGGUCAGCCUGACACUGAGCCCCGGGUCUCUGUCUCCGUGUCCUCCCUGGAUGAAGCCAGCAGUGGCUGGUCAGCUCAGCUCACUCUCCACACCAGCCCCGGGUCUCUCGCAGGGUCUAAGAGCCAGACUCUGGCCCCGGGAAGGGUAUGAUUUCCUUGGAGGGCAAAUGGACAAGUGAAUAACAAGCCAGAUCCCACAAGGCCCGAGUGUCCCCAGGAGAAGAAACCACUGCUGGUUGUGCAAAACCUGGCACUUGGGUGGUUUCACAAACAAGAGGGAUGGGGCUGGACUUGGGGGUCUGGGUGGGGUGGAGGGAGCAGUGCGGGCUCACACAGGGGCUGGGGGUGGGGAGCUGGGCCUGGAAGAGGAUUCUGAAUUCUGCGUUGGGAAUUGGGAACAUGGGAGCCAGAGCAGGAAACACGGAAUCACAAGGGAGCUGCAGGGGGCGUCUGAUGAGCCAGGAAGGGUACCUGGUGCCCCUGCGCUGCUUGGAACUAAAGCAGAGAGUGGCCUGGGUGGCACCACAGAGCCAGGCAAACAGGUGUGUGGUGGCCCUGAGCUCAGGUGGCGCGGGGGGCGGGGGGGGGACGGAAGGAACACGGCUCUGUGCCCAGCAUGCGGCCUUGGGCCACAGCCCAGUUACUGGGGUGCACAGCACAGGUCACGCUGCGGGGGACAGGGGCCUCUCUGUGAGGCCCGUCACCCAGAACACAGACAAUGGAACCCACUGUGUCGGGGAUGGCACACAGGUGCCGUCUCUCCAGCGGGGGAUAAAGGGGAACCUUCGCUACAAAACCAGCACGAAUAUCCCCACGGGUGGGAGGCCUGCCAUAGGGAACAGCUGCUUUUAGGAAAACUGCUUUGUCUAAAAGGAUGUCUUUUCACACCUGCGUG